rnacentral:rRNA from 1 species
GAUGAACGCUGGCGGCGUGCCUAAUACAUGCAAGUCGAGCGAAUGGAUUAAGAGCUUGCUCUUAUGAAGUUAGCGGCGGACGGGUGAGUAACACGUGGGUAACCUGCCCAUAAGACUAGGAUAACUCCGGGAAGCCGGGGCUAAUACCGGAUAACAUUUUGAACCGCAUGGUUCGAAAUUGAAAGGCGGCUUCGGCUGUCACUUAUGGAUGGACCAGCGUCGAAUUAGCUAGUUGGUGAGGGGACGGCUAACCAAGGCAACAAUGCGUAGCCGACCUGAGAGGGUGAUCGGCCACACUGGGACUGAGACACGGCCCAGACUCCUACGGGAGGCAGCAGUAGGGAAUCUUCCGCAAUGGACGAAAGUCUGACGGAGCAACGCCGCGUGAGUGAUGAAGGCUUUCGGGUCGUAAAACUCUGUUGUUAGGGAAGAACAAGUGCUAGUUGAAUAAGCUGGCACCUUGACGGUACCUAACCAGAAAGCCACGGCUAACUACGUGCCAGCCGCCGCGGUAA